UGUUUUCACGCUACCCCUUCCCCACCCCAGGACCUUUUCCUCCAGGAGUGUCCCACAAUCCCCAGUUAUCUGCCCUUUAUGUUCCCCAGUCCAAAUGGACCCCAGCACAACCAGCAGCCACACUUUUGGCCAUUGGUUGAUCUCCAGAAGUUAAGGAAGAAGCUCCUUAAACCAGUUUAUACUAACAUGGAAAUGACUGAAAGCCCCCUGCCCUUCCUACAGGAAACCAAUCAACCCAAAGAAAUCUCUUCAGCUAGUGGGAUUUCAGUGGGAUUCCAGUAAGAUGACCACAGCGGGUGGAUCCUGGGGAAAGGCUCUGCAGAGAGGCUCUGGCCUCGGGCCUGUACCUCCCAGGUCACUUCAUCUGCAUCUUCCCAUACUCUUCUGACCCUAGAGACCCUUUCAAGGAACUCAAAGGGAGGACCUAGCAACAUCGAGGGUACGAGGAGGGAAGGGGCAGCAGAAGGGCAGUGUUUUCUUCAUACGUGUCCUUAGUCUACUGGCAGGAUUGUAGGGACUGGGAACAGUGCAGUUUAGGGGGAGGCAGAGUGGGCCAGCUCAACCCGGCUGUUAACACAGACAUGGAGGAUCAGGGAGGGAACUUGGCAAGUGGGAACCCACCAACCAUGAGAUGAUAGAGACCUAGGUUUGAAUUCUGGUGCAUUAUUUA
rnacentral:lncRNA from 1 species